GUGACCCCUACCAGCUCGCUAAGGCUCGGCUGCAACCCACCCAACUCCCGCCCCAGGAUGCUGUUCAUUCUUUUCUUGGCGGGGUCGCCUUGAUUCCGGUUUCGGAACUUGUGUGGACACUUGUGCAGGUUAGGAAGAGAAUCUUUGGGGCUGUUUUGUGGGUCCACGCUGACUCUUUUGUGAACUCUGGGCCCUAAAGUCUUGGGCAGUACUGGGGCCAGGAACACCCAGGAAAGAGCGCACGUUUCCGGUGGUAAAGUCUGCAUUAGAGAGUGAUUGACAUAGGCAAGGACAGAGAGGAUGGGAGCGGAUCAAAAUGUGAGACUUUAAGAUGCUAAAUUGGGAAUGGUUUAAUUUUAAUAAACUUUAAAGAACCGAUGGUUUUGAUUACCUUUAGAGCCACUUCGAAGCCGCGAAGAAAAAUAGGUUCGUAUAUUUGAACAACUGCUGCGGCUUAAAGAAUUGUUUUUGUAGGAGACAGGCCUACUAAAAGGCCUGACAAAAGAAUUAAACAAUCUUGCUGAGAGGACAUGAUUCAGUCCUCUGAUUCAGUGUGUGACUCCUGAAGGAAUCCAAGAAGGAACAGAAAACAUCUUGAAAGCAGGAUGUACGCCUGCGGAUGGAAAGCCAUCAACAGACUGUUCCUAUCCUUGGUGCCUGGGAGGCACAUAAAGAUUACCUGGGUCUCUGUCCUUGAGGCAGAAAAAGGGGGAUACAAAAAUAUUAAAUGUUAACUGCGCAGGAUUAUGACUGAAGGCCACCUGGCCCGCUGUGCUCAUGUACACACAUACAAGCAAGUCUCAAAAAGUAUAAUAAAGCAGACUUGAGAUCAGUUUGGGUACCUUCACCUCGUGGGGCUGUUGGUCCCCUGAUCCCUGCUGUAACUUUCUUGAGUGUUUCUCAUUCUUUCGCCAUGGUGGCACUUUGGAGAACCUGUGUUGUCGAGCUGGACUUGACAAGUGGCGCCCCAUCAGGGACCUGAAAGUGAAACCAGCUUUGGAAGCUUCUCCUUAGGAGGCAAGGAACACGGGGAAUUCUGACUGAAGAGGUGGACCUGGAAAGUACCUGAACCUGGGCCUGCCAAGACCAAGCGAAUGUGAACUGCUACAAUACCCACUUGGGGGCAGAUAAAAAAGUUAUCACAGGAAGCUGAGAGCCUAGUUCAUCAUCGUGGCCUUCCAAAAACAUCUGCCAAUCUACUACUGGCUAUGGUAACCCUUAUCACAAUGUCGUCUGGAGAAGAACAAGAAAGAAGCAGCAGCAACAGUUAGCCUUCUUGACUAUAUUCAGUUAUCUACAAAAACAAAAAGGGGGAGAUGUAGGAGACAGGCCUACUAAAAGGCCUGACAAAAGAAUUAAACAAUCUUGCUGAGAGGACAUGAUUCAGUAUGUGACUCCUGAAGGAAUCCAAGAAGGAACAGAAAACAUCUUGAAAGCAGGAUGUACGCCUGCAGAUGGAAAGCCAUCAACAGACUGUUCCUAUCCUUGGUGCCUGGGAGGCACAUAAAGAUUACCUGGGUCUCUGUCCUUGAGGCAGAAAAAGGGGGAUACAAAGAUAUUAAAUGUUAACUGCGCAGGAUUAUGACUGAAGGCCACCUGGCCCGCUGUGCUCAUGUACACACAUACAAGCAAGUCUCAAAAAGUAUAAUAAAGCAGACUUGAGAUCAGUUUGGGUACCUUCACCUUGUGGGGCUGUUGGUUCCCUGAUCCCCACUGUAACUUUGUUUCUCAUUCUUUCGCCAUGGUGGCACUUUGGGAACCUGUGCUGUCGAGCUGGACUCGACAGUUUUCUCAUUUGUAGUGAUGUCAUUGGAUAAGGUGAGGUUUAAGCACUUUCUCACAUUCGUCAUUUUAUUUAAUCUUCUCGCCAAUCCUGCGAAGAUACUUUGCAGUAUCAUUUCUAUUUAUACAUUUGGCCCUUGGAUUGUAAUGCCUAGCUUUAACUAGACUUGGUGCUAAGUGACCUUUUUUUCCCCCUGCCCCUCUGAAGUGACUUAGCUGUUUACAAAACUCAGUCCAAAGAGGUACCACUGAUGCUCAAGGCAUUUACACAUGAUCUCCAAGAAAUGUUUCUGGUAAUGGAAGCAUAACUUGGACAGCCUUAUAGUUCAUAAGAUGAUUACUUUGGAGGAGCAGUAUUUAUUUGGUUAUGUAAAUUGAGUGUGUGCUAAUCACUUGUCACAGAUACUUAAAAUCUUCCCAUUUAUCUCUGCAUGACUGGUUCUUUUUGCUCUGUUGGGUCUCACUUCAUGUCAAAGACGAGUUCCCUGACUUCCAUGCAAACCACCAUCAACAUGUUUUAUUUUCUUCAUAGUACCUAUCAUCGUCUGGAUUAUCUUGUCCAUUUAUUGUUUGUUUACGGCCUUAACCCCAACGCCCAUUUAAAAUGUACCCAUAAUGAGAGAAGGGACCUUGUCAAUCUUGUUUAGUGCUGUAUCCUAGGGCCUAGAGUAGUGCCAAUACAUACUUGUUUUUUUAAUUUUUUUUAUUUUUUUUUAUACAU